UGGGGGCGGGUGCUUACCAUGCAGUCGAACGAUGAAGCCUCACUUGUGGGGUGGAUUAGUGGCGAACGGGUGAGUAACACGUGAGCAACCUGCCCUGGACUCUGGGAUAAGCGCUGGAAACGGUGUCUAAUACUGGAUAUGAGCUUCUGCCGCAUGGUGGGGGUUGGAAAGAUUUUUCGGUCUGGGAUGGGCUCGCGGCCUAUCAGCUUGUUGGUGAGGUAAUGGCUCACCAAGGCGUCGACGGGUAGCCGGCCUGAGAGGGUGACCGGCCACACUGGGACUGAGACACGGCCCAGACUCCUACGGGAGGCAGCAGUGGGGAAUAUUGCACAAUGGGCGGAAGCCUGAUGCAGCAACGCCGCGUGAGGGAUGACGGCCUUCGGGUUGUAAACCUCUUUUAGCAGGGAAGAAGCGUGAGUGACGGUACCUGCAGAAAAAGCGCCGGCUAACUACGUGCCAGCAGCCGCGGUAAUACGUAGGGCGCAAGCGUUAUCCGGAAUUAUUGGGCGUAAAGAGCUCGUAGGCGGUUUGUCGCGUCUGCUGUGAAAUCCCGAGGCUCAACCUCGGGCCUGCAGUGGGUACGGGCAGACUAGAGUGCGGUAGGGGAGAUUGGAAUUCCUGGUGUAGCGGUGGAAUGCGCAGAUAUCAGGAGGAACACCGAUGGCGAAGGCAGAUCUCUGGGCCGUAACUGACGCUGAGGAGCGAAAGGGUGGGGAGCAAACAGGCUUAGAUACCCUGGUAGUCCACCCCGUAAACGUUGGGAACUAGUUGUGGGGUCCUUUCCACGGAUUCCGUGACGCAGCUAACGCAUUAAGUUCCCCGCCUGGGGAGUACGGCCGCAAGGCUAAAACUCAAAGGAAUUGACGGGGACCCGCACAAGCGGCGGAGCAUGCGGAUUAAUUCUAUGCAACGCGAAGACCCUUACCACGGCUUGACAUACGCCAGACCGGGCCAGAGAUGGUCAACUCGUUUGACACUGGUGAACAGGUGUGCAUGGUGU
rnacentral:rRNA from 1 species